AAAUUCGAAUCUGCGCUACAAUCCUCUAUUCCCCGUCACACCCUAUGCAGUUGCCGCACUGAUCAUCGGCCGUCGAUCUCGUUCAUCGCACGGUCCAUCGUUCAUCACCAUUGACGCCUCUACAAAUUGAAUCCCUAAAGGCAAAAACACCAAGGGCAGACAGCACCGUUCGCAUUUCUGGCGGAACUCAAAUUUUGACCAAAUUCGCUUACAAAUCUUCGCGAAUUUCGUAAUCCGGUCUCUUUACGAUCGCCUUCUCCUCCUUUUCAUCUGUAAUCAAACAGGGCUUCGAAGCGUUUUCUUGGCUACAGGGAAAAUGGAGAUGGCAAUGGAGGACGCUUUCUCGCAUAUCGUUCUGGCCUGCGUUGUGGAAUCAUUUAUUGACGUUGACCGAAUAGCUCGAGCGGUUCCGAAGAAUCCUAUACAGGACUCGCAGCGAAGUUGUAAGUUUAGGGUUUGCUACUAGGUAUUCGAUUUAGGGUUUCGAAUCGUCUCUUUGGUUGUUGUUUUCGCCGGUUGAAGCUGAAAUUCCCAGUGAAAUCAGGGUCUCGAGGGUUUCUGUGAAAUUUAUUGCUUCUCACAGUCAAUUCUGAUUAAGGAUAGCAACCUUGUUUGUUUAUGUUGUUUUCUUUAACUUUCUUUUGUAUUCUCCUCGAAUCUGUAUGCGAAAUUUCGGUAAAUUCCUUUCUUCUCGCGAUUAAGUUCGCUUAGAAAGAAGAAAAAAGAAAAACAGUUUGCUUGUUCUUUGUAUCGGAUGGACCGUUAAUAUUGCGGACUUUCUGGAGUUUCACGGUGAAUCUUUAUCCAAAGCUGGUGUUUCUCGGUGUUAUUUGGUUGUUGAAAAAUUCUAUCUUGUUGGUAGGACCUGUUUAACUGGAAGUUAGGGUUUGAAAGUUGAAUGGCGGGAAAGAGGGAAUUAGGGUUUCCGAAGACGACUGCUUGUAGUCUAAGGGAACAGUUAGCGAGAACAACUUUUCGGAAUGUGAGAUUGCAGGGUCAUACAUAUGUUGACCUUAGGGAAGAUGGGAAGAAGUUCAUAUUCUUCUGCACACUGUGUCUGGCUCCGUGUUAUAAUGAUACUGUGUUGUUUGAUCACUUGAAGGGAAAUCUGCACAAUGGAAGGCUUGCUGCUGCCAAAGCUACCUUGCUGAAACCAAAUCCAUGGCCUUUUAAUGAUGGUGUUCUUUUCUUUCAGAGUUCUUCUGAGCAAGAUAAGCAGUUAGUUGGCUCAAGUGUGGAGCAAAUUAGGUUCUUAGACCACCAAAUUGGCAAUGAAGAUGAACUUGCUAUUGUUUCUCAUGUAGAAAAUUUAAACGCCGAUUGUGAUAAGAAUGUUUCUCAUGGGAGAUCUGGUUGUGAUGGGGAAUUUCAGUCUACAGGCAAUGGUGCAGAUUGUGAUGACAGUUCACAUGAUAAACAUGGAAGUGAUGCUGAUUUUUCUGAUAACUCACAUGUUAGGAAUAUGAAUGGUAAUAGGCAUUCUUAUGAUUUGGUUGUUCCUGGUGUUUUGCGUGAGGAUACAAUUUCAGAUUUGGAAGUAAGGUUCUUGGGUACUGGAAAAAUUGCUGCUCGGGUUUUCUUGAGGGAUGGGGUUCCAAAUGGAAUUUGUAGGAUAUGGUGUGAAUGGCUGGGAAAUAACCAGAAUGAGGAUAGCCAUAUGAUUCCAGAGCAUGACUUUGCUGUUGUCACCUUUGUAUAUAGUUACAGUUUAGGUAGACAGGGUUUAUUUGAUGAUGUGAAGCAUUUGCUUUCUUCUAGUCCACAGGCGGAAAUUGAGGACCUUGAGGAUGCUAAAAAAAGAAAACGGGUGUCUUUUUCUGAUCCAGAGGAUAUUAGUGAGUCCCUGAGUAAUUGUUAUGACUCAUCAAGUGAAGAUCAUCAAUCUUCCGCUAGUUCUAGCUCAAGGAUGCUCGUAGAUGGAGAUGCUGAUCAGUUGCUGCAUUCAAGAUUUAUAUCAAGCAAAACCAUUCGAAGAGAGUUGAGGCGACAGCAACGUGUAGCUGCGGAAAGAAUGUGUGAUAUCUGUCAACAAAAAGUGCUUCCUGGCAAAGAUGUGGCAACACUUCUGAAUAGGAAAACUGGAAGGCUAGCUUGCAGUAGUAGGAAUGGGAAUGGGGUUUUUCAUGUAUUUCAUAUUUCCUGCCUUAUACACUGGAUACUGCUCCGUGAGUUAGAGAUGAGCAACACGCAGUCAGCUGGCCUCAAAGUGAAACGGAAAUCUAGGAGGAAGGCUAGACCUAAGUGCAAUGGAUCUAGGGAGGAUGAUGAAGAAAAAACUUUACAAAAGCAAGUUCUCUCUGUGUUGUGUCCGGUAUGCCAGGGCACUGGUAUAAAUGUUGACGGAGAUGAACUGGAGAAACCAACUGUUCCUCUUUCUGAGAUGUUUCGAUAUAAAAUUAAAGUGAGUGAUGCACAUAGAGCUUGGAUGAAAAGUCCUGAAGUGUUGCAGAAUUGUUCAACAGGCUUCCAUUUCCCGACUAAAUUAGAUGAACUGGUUCAGGUUCUAUGAUUUCUGAUCAAGUUAUUUAUUUAGACAAGGAUGAAGCUACAAUAAUUCUGUUCUGUUAUUUGAUACUCAACAAUGGAGAUGUGUCCCCACUAAAGUUGCUGCAUUUCUAUCGCGCUGAUACUUAAAAGAGUUAAGAGAGAUAUCCUCUGGAUCAUGCAAGUAACCGUUCCCUUUUUCUUUCUGCAAAAUGGCAUGUAAAUCAUUUUCAUAGCGAAUAUCUGUAACCUGUUGUAGAUAUUCAUUUGUGAAGAAAACUUGGAAUAUGACAUUGAACAUGAGUAGUUAGUUGCAUAUGGACAAUAUCUUCUCUUGUGGAUUUAUUUAUCAUCUAACUUUGUAUGUAUCUGUUGCCUAAUAGUGGAAAAUACUAGUGUGCAUUGCAGGAACUUGUUGACAUUGUAUUGAUGACUAAAGUCAAUUGAUUUGUGAUCAAUGAAAGGUUUAUGUAGUUUGUUUUCCAA